rnacentral:rRNA from 1 species
UACGUAGGGGGCUAGCGUUGUCCGGAAUCAUUGGGCGUAAAGCGCGUGUAGGCGGCUCGGUAAGUCCGCUCUGAAAGCCCGGGGCUCAACCCCGGGAGGCGGGUGGAUACUGCCGGGCUAGAGUCCGGAAGAGGAGAGUGGAAUUCCCGGUGUAGCGGUGAAAUGCGCAGAUAUCGGGAAGAACACCCGUGGCGAAGGCGGCUCUCUGGGACGGUACUGACGCUGAGACGCGAAAGCGUGGGGAGCGAACAGG